rnacentral:rRNA from 1 species
UACGUAGGGCGCAAGCGUUGUCCGGAAUUAUUGGGCGUAAAGAGCUCGUAGGCGGCCAGUUGCGUCUGCUGUGAAAUCCCGGGGCUCAACCCCGGGCGUGCAGUGGAUACGGGCUGGCUAGAGGCAGGCAGGGGAGAACGGAAUUCCCGGUGUAGCGGCGAAAUGCGCAGAUAUCGGGAGGAACACCGGUGGCGAAGGCGGGUCUCUGGGCCAUAACUGACGCUGAGGAGCGAAAGCGUGGGGAGCGAACAGG